rnacentral:rRNA from 1 species
GUACACUCCUGCGGGAGGCAGCAGUGGGGAAUAUUGGACAAUGGGCGCAAGCCUGAUCCAGCCAUGCCGCGUGAGUGAUGAAGGCCCUAGGGUUGUAAAGCUCUUUCACCGGAGAAGAUAAUGACGGUAUCCGGAGAAGAAGCCCCGGCUAACUUCGUGCCAGCAGCCGCGGUAAUACGAAGGGGGCUAGCGUUGUUCGGAAUUACUGGGCGUAAAGCGCACGUAGGCGGAUCGAUCAGUCAGGGGUGAAAUCCCAGGGCUCAACCCUGGAACUGCCUUUGAUACUGUCGAUCUGGAGUAUGGAAGAGGUGAGUGGAAUUCCGAGUGUAGAGGUGAAAUUCGUAGAUAUUCGGAGGAACACCAGUGGCGAAGGCGGCUCACUGGUCCAUUACUGACGCUGAGGUGCGAAAGCGUGGGGAGCAAACAGGAUUAGAAACCCUAGUAGUCCC